rnacentral:pre_miRNA from 1 species
UCUUAUGCAGGAGCAAAGAAAGUAGUUUCUUCAGAUGGGAUCUACCCUUUGUGAAAAUGCUGUGAA